UAGUCAUUACCAUUGAGUUAAUUUAUUAGUUUCCAACUUUGGAGUACGGAAAGAACUCAGGUGGCUACCUCGUCGAACAAUUUAAUACUAGAGAGGCGCUACACAAGCAAUCUCCAAUAAGUUUUCGGCCCGCUGGAAGGAAAAGUAUCUCAGCACUCUUCAACCGAGGUACAAAUGACUUACAGCACAUCGAAACCUACAGACGGGAGACAUUGUGCUUCUGAAGGAUAACCAGCUCCCUCGUAACAAGUGGCUGAUGGGACUGGUCACCUCAACCUUCCCAAGCAGUGAUGGGAAGGUUAGGAAGAUAGAGGUCAGGAUAACCACUCCGGAGACUGUCAAAACAUUCCUCAGACCUGUGUCUGAGGUCAUCCUACUUCUUCCCAAAGAGAACUCAGGAUCAUUAGAAAAUGACAAUGCAAGUAGAGGAGUGACAUUUGCACAAUGUCAGGCGGGGAGAGUUCUGCCGUGCAAGAUGUCGUGAAGUAUUCUUCUGUUAUGCAUAUUUUAUUGUCGUUUUCACGUGCUGAUCAGUUGCCCUUGUUCACAGCAUUAUUAAUUUAAUGCUUUAGUGUAAUUUUGCAUCUGACCUCUAGGUGACAGCACUCAUUCGUUCGUGCAUAGUACAUUUACAGAAAAGAUCAAAGUUCCUUUGUGGACAAAGCAACAACAGAAUGCACCUGGAGUUCAUCGUCGUGUUGAUGUUAAGAUAUUUAAUGUUCAAACUGAUAAACUUUAUUGAUUUUGGUAAAUAAUCAUUAACUUCGACUUUUAUGGCUGUAAUACGUUCCAAAAAAGCUGGGACAGGUGGGAAAGAAUGCAAAGAAAUUUGAGGAAUGCUCAUAAAACACCUGUUUGGAACAUCCCACAGGUGAAUAGGCUUGUUGGGAACAGGUGGUUGUGAUGACUGGGUAUAGAAGAAGUUUCCCUGAAUUACUCAGUUAUACACAGGUAAAGAUGGGGUGAAGUUCCCCUCUUUAUGAACAAGUGUGUGAGAAAAUUUUCAAACAGUUUAAGGACAAAGUUCCUCAAUGUUCCUCAAUGUACAAUUACAGGGAUUUCACCAUCCAUCCAGGACUCCAUCUUCUACCACUUUUCCGGGUCAUUUUGUGGGGGGAGUAGCUUUAGUGAGGAUACAUAGACUUCCCUUUCCACGGCCACUUCAUCCAGCUCUUCUGGAGGGAUCCUGAGGCAUUCCCAAGCCAGUCGAGAGACCUAGUCUCUCCAGUGUGUCCUGGGUCGUCCCUGGGGUUUCUUCCCUGUGGGACAUGCCCAGAAUAAAUCACCAGGGUGGCGUCUGGGAGGGAUUGGGAUCAGAUGUCCCACCCACGUCAUCUGGCUCCUCUCAAUGCGGAGGAGCAGCGGCUCGACACUGAGCCCCUCCCGGAUGACCGAGCUUCUCACCCUAUCUCUAAGGGAGAUCCCUGACCCUGCGGAGGAAACUCAUUUCGGCCGCUUGUAUCUGGGAUCUUGUUCUUCUGGUCACGACACACAGCUCAUGCCCAAAGGUGAGGGUAGGAACGUAGAAUGACUGGUAAAUUGAGAGCUUCGCCUUUCGACUUAGCUCCCUCUUUACCACAACGGACCGAUGCAAAGUCCGAAUCACUGCAGACCCUGCACCGAUCCGCCUGUCGAUCUCAGAUUUAAAUGGACAUGUUGGUGAAGGAAACAGGGUGGUGAAUAAGUAAUGGGUAAGUAUGGCAUUCAGCAAAGGAACUUUGAGGGCCAGAUGGUGGUGGACUUCACAAAAAGGAUGGAAUUGGCAGUGGUGAACACUUAUUUCGAGAAGAGAAUGGAACAUAGAGUGACCUACAAGAGCGGAGGAAGAAGCACGCAAGUGGAUUAUAGUUUGUGCAGACGUUGUAAUCUGAAGGAGGUUACCGACUGUAAGAGAGUGUAGCUCGACAGCAUAAGAUGGUGGUGUGUAGGAUGACUCUGGUAGUGGGUAGGAAGACUAAGGAUAGAAAGGUAGAGCAGAGAAUCAGGUGGUGGAAGUUUAGAAAGGAAGAAUGUUGUGUGGCCUUCUGGAAAGAGGUGAGACAGGCUCAAGAUGGACAGGAGGAGCUCCCAGAAGACUGGAAUACCACUGCCAAGGUAUUCAGAGAGGCAGGCAGGAGAGAACUUGGGAUAUCAUCUGGUAGGAAAGGGGAGAAGGAGACUUGGUGGUAAGGUAAGACCUAAGAGAUUAGCGAAGAAGAAGUGGGACACAGAGAUGACUGAGAUGUGUCAUAGGGAAAAGGUAGAGGUGGCAAAGGCUAAACAAGAGGCAUAUGACGACAUGUACUCCAGGUUGGAUAUGAAAGAAGGAGAAAAGGAUCUCUACAGGUAGGCUAGACAGAGGGAUAGAGAUGGGAAGAUGUACAGUAAGUAAAGGUGAUUAAGGAUAGCAAUGGAAAUAUGUUAACUGGUGCCAGUAGUGUGCUAAGUAGAUGGAAAGAAUACUCUGAGAAGUUAAUGAAUGAAGAAAAUGGGACAGAAUGUAAAGUAGAGGAGGCAAGCGUGAAUGACCAGGAAGUGACAUUGAUUAGUAAGGGAGAACCGAAAAAGGCACUGAACAGAAGGAAAAAUGGAAAGACAGUUGGUCCCAAUAACAUCCCAGUGGAGGUAUGGAAGCAAUUUGGUGAGUUGACUGUGGAGUUUCUGACCAACUUAUUCAAUAGAAUACUACCGGGAGAGAAGAUGCCUGAAGAAUGGAGGAAAAGUGUGCUUGUCCCCAUUUUUAAGAACAAAGGCGAUGUUCAGAACUGUGGAAACUACAGAGGAAUAAAGUUGAUGAGUCACACAAUGAAGUUAUGGGAAAGAGUAGUGGAGGCUAGACUCAGGACAGAAGUAAGUAUCUGCGAGCAACAGUAUGGUUUCAUGCCUAGAAAGAGUACCACAGAUACAUUAUUUGCCUUGAGGAUGCUCGUGGAAAAGUACAGAGAAGGUCAGAAGGAGCUACAUUGUGUCUUUGUGGACCUAGAGAAAGCCUAUGACAGAGUACCAAGAGAGGAACUGUGGUACUGCAUGCGCAAGUCUGGUGUGGCGGAGAAAUAUGUGAAAAUAGUACAGGACAGGUAUGAGGGCAGCAGAACAGCGGUGAGAUGUGUCGUUGGUGUGUCAGAAGAAUUUAAGGUGGAGGUGGGACUGCAUCAGGGUUCCGCGCUGAGCCCCUUCCUGUUUGCGGUAGUAAAUGAUAGGCAGACAGACGAGAUUGGAGACUGGAUUCCCCUUGGACCAUGAUGUUCGCAGAUGAUAUUGUGAUCCGCAGGGAAAGUAGGGAACAGGCGGAGGAACAGUUAGAAAGAUGGAGGUACGCACUGGAAAGAAAAGGAAUGAAUAUUAGCCGAAGUAAAACAGAAUGUAUGUGCGUGAAUGAGAGGGGCGGAGGAGGAAGAGUGAAGCUCCAGGUAGAAGAGAUAGCAAAGGUGGACGACUUCAAAUAGUUGGGGUCAACAUUACAGAGCAAUGGAGUGUGGUAAGGAAGUGAAGAAACAGGUCCAACCGGGGUGGAACAGUUAGCGGAAAGUGUCUGGUGUUCUAUGUGACAGAAGAGUAUCCGCCAGGAUGAAGGGCAAAGUUUACAAAACAGUGGUGAGGCCGGCCAUGAUGUACGGAGUAGAGAUGGUGGCUCUGAGGAAACAACAGGAAGCAGACCUUGAGGUAGCAGGAAUGAAGAUGUUGAGGUUGACGCUUGUUGUGAACAGGUUGGAUAGGAUUAGAAAUGAGCUCGUAAGAGGGACAGCCAAAGUUAGAUGUUUUGGAGACAAGGUUAGAGAGAGCAGAUUUCGAUGCUUUGGACAUGUUCAGAGGCGAGAGUGAGUAUGUUGGUAGAAGGGUGCUGAGGAUGGAGCUGCCAGCAAAAGAGCAAGAGGAAGAGCAAAGAAAAGGUUGAUGGAUGUUGUGAGGGAGGACAUGAGGACAGUGGGUGUUAGAGAGGAUGAUGCAUGAGAUAGGUUUAGAUGGAAAAAGAUGACACGCUGUGGUGACCACUAAUGGGACAAGCCGAAAGAAAAAGAAGUUAAAAGAAAAGGUGACGUAACACAGUGGUAAACAUGAGCAUGACCCAGCUUUUUUUGUUGUGUAAUGUUGCAGCCAUAAAAUUAAAGUUAAUUAUUAUUUGCUAAACCCCAAAAAGUUUAUUAGCUUGAACAUUAAAUAUGUUGUGUUGAUUGUGUAUUGAAUUAAAUGUAGGUUGAACAUGAUUUGAAAUAUUGUAUUCUGUUUUUGUUUGUUUAACACAAGAUCAUAACAUCAGUGGAAUUGGUAUUGUAGUUUUUUCACUCGACAAAUCAAACAAAACAAAAUCAAAAUAAAUUUACUGGAGUAGUAAUUGAUGAAAAAGUCUCAGACACUCUCAGACACAGUCAAAAUGAAAAAAUAUAUAAAAACGUCAUUAUCGUCAUCAUUUAAGAGGUUUAAAAAAUACAGUACCAUACAAGAACAUUAUAUCAAUUAUAUAAAAUUACAGAAAUGUCAGAAUUUUUCAAUUUGUUUGAAUGAGUGAAAAGAAUAUAUACUGUAUGUACAUUACAGUAUAUGUAUGGGUGAGUCUGAUGAUAUAAUGAUAUACAAAUAUGUCUUAGGGUGUAUGUAUUUGUACAGUAUAUAUGUACUUCACAUUAUUAUUAGUAUAUAUAUAUAUAUAUAUAUAAAGGGUUAUAUUUGGAAGUCAACCAUAUGAUUAUCAGAGCAAAGGUUUAGAAGUGCAUGGGUUUUUCUUUGUUUGCUUCCGAGGGCCUGACAUCCCAAAGAUGUUAGACAGUUUGGAGUCGGGGCUCUGAAGUUCUUGUACAGUGAACUCAUUCAACCAUUUCUGAUUUCGAUCUUAAAUCUCAGCCACAGUCAUGCUGGAAAAGUUGUAAACAAUAUUUGUUUACCUUAUUUUCCCAUUUUCUGUAUCACUUUUGUAUAAUUUCAAUUGAAUUAAUACUGCAACUUCAGUCAUGGUGUAUAAAAAAUGGCUAUGCAGGUCAGACUAGGCGAUGUUCAAACUGUGUUGAAAUAAGGUCACUCACUGUUUUGUGUCAAAGGAAGUUCAAUGACAAGCAAGCACCAAGGACAGUUUCACAUUGUUUACAUUCAGUCACAGCAGCAGAGGCGUUUGCUGCACUUGAGAAUGUGUGUCUCUUGUCUGUCGUCCCAAAUUGUCAAAGCAGGAAGAGCGGCGACAGGUGGCAUCCAAAUUAGAAAGUGUACAGGUGAGGUGUCCUAUCUCCGGCUGCCAGAUGCCUCAUCUGUACUGCUCUGUAACUCAUCUGUCAUCUUUGCUAUUACAGUAUUGAAGUCCAACUUCCAUCUUCAUGUGCAAGAUCUGUUUUGAGCUUUUGUUCAGUUUUGUUUUCAAAUGACUUUUAAGGAUUUGACCUUUUCAUUCAUUCAUCUUCUGUUCCAGUUGUCUUCACUAGGGUCACGGGCAUGCUGGAGUCUAUCCAAGCUAUCUUCGGGUGAGAGUUUUGAACCCGCAAGAAUCAGUUGUGUGGGGAAAGUACAACUCAAAAGCAUCAGAAGGACUGUACAACAACAGAAACAUUAAGGUUCGCCAGGCGUAUCGCAGUGAUGGAGGAAGAGGACCACAACUCUCUGGAAUACUCCUCUUUUGCCCUGUCGUCGUUCUGAGAUCUCCUCCCCGAUGGUCUCCAUGCAGAUGUCGGCCGAAAGUUGACCCUUCCGCCUCGGGGCGUAGAUGGUGGCUAACACACAACAAAAGAAAUCAUAGCGGGCGUAGCUGUUGGGAUCAGCUGCUCUCAGUGUCCGCAGCCAGGGGAAGUCUGUUAUCAUGCUGUAAGGGGCGCCAUCCAACAAUCCUGAGCAUAACGUGGAGG